rnacentral:sRNA from 1 species
CGGCGACAAUCGGCAGCCAACGCACUCAGAAUUCCGGGCGUGUAGCGCAACGACCACCUACAAGACAAUAUUUGGAUUAGUUGUUAGGCAGUUAUAAUCUUCCAUUGGUAUUUA